UUGACGGGGCCCGCACAAGCGGCGGAGCAUGCGGAUUAAUUCGAUGCAACGCGAAGAACCUUACCAGGCUUGACAUACACCGGUAACGCCCAGAGAUGGGUGCCCCUUUGUGGUCGGUGGACAGGUGGUGCAUGGUUGUCGUCAGCUCGUGUCGUGAGAUGUUGGGUUAAGUCCCGCAACGAGCGCAACCCUCGUCCUAUGUUGCCAGCGGGUCAUGCCGGGGACUCAUGGGAGACUGCCGGGGUCAACUCGGAGGAAGGUGGGAUGACGUCAAAUCAUCAUGCCCCUUAUGUCUUGGGCUCCACGCAUGCUACAAUGGCCGGUACAAAGGGCUGCGAUACCGCGAGGUGGAGCGAAUCCCAGAAAGCCGGUCUCAGUUCGGAUUGGGGUCUGCAACUCGACCCCAUGAAGUCGGAGUCGCUAGUAAUCGCAGAUCAGCAACGCUGCGGUGAAUACGUUCCCGGGCCUU
rnacentral:rRNA from 1 species